UGUCGAGCAACUCCUAUGCCUACAUCCUCGCAGUACUAGCCGGAGUAGGAUUAACCUUAUGGAAGAUCGGGUAACCAACCCCAGUGGGAACUCUGGUCUUAUGCUGACAGGGAAGG
rnacentral:ribozyme from 1 species